CCUACGGGUGGCAGCAGUGGGGGAUAUUGCACAAUGGGGGGAACCCUGAUGCAGCGACGCCGCGUGGGUGAAGAAGCGCCUCGGCGCGUAAAGCCCUGUCAGCAGGGAAGAAAAUGACGGUACCUGAAGAAGAAGUCCCGGCUAACUACGUGCCAGCAGCCGCGGUAAUACGUAGGGGGCAAGCGUUAUCCGGAUUUACUGGGUGUAAAGGGGGCGCAGACGGCGAUGCAAGCCAGGAGUGAAAGCCCGGGGCUCAACCCCGGGACGGCUCUUGGAACUGCGUGGCUGGAGUGCAGGAGGGGCAGGCGGAAGUCCUGGUGUAGCGGUGAAAUGCGUAGAUAUCAGGAGGAACACCGGUGGCGAAGGCGGCCUGCUGGACUGCAACUGACGUUGAGGCCCGAAAGCGUGGGGAGCAAACAGGAUUAGAUACCCCUGUAGUC
rnacentral:rRNA from 1 species